GGGACCUGCUCAAAAGCGCUCACAUGCUAGAGGGAGUUGGCUACAGUGUUCAUUUUGUAAACUAACAAUUUUAGUCGACUAAACUUUUUGAGACUUAGUUGACUAAAACAAAAACAAGUCAGAUGACUAAAAUACAACAAAAACUAAAAUGGCUUUUUAAUCAAAAGACUAUGACUAAAACUAAAUUGAAAUUUGCCGCCAAAAUUAACACCGGUUGGGUAAAGUGACACGUAAG